rnacentral:rRNA from 1 species
UCCUAGCCUUUUAAUUGGAGGCCUGCAUGAAUGGCUUGACGAGCGCCCUGCUGUCUCUCUUCCCAUGAACUUUUAAAUUAACUUUCGCGUGCAAAGGCGCGAAUGGCUGAGUUAGACGAAAAGACCCUAUGCAUCUUUACUGAGAGAGAAGAAAGUUCUUUAGCUUGGUUUAGCUGGGGCAGCUGAGGAAAAGGCAAAAUUUCCUUAAUAUAAAUCAUACUGGUGGGUUUAGAUCCAGGCUCUUUAGCGGGCUUGACAAGUAGAAAAGUUACGCUAGGGAUAACAGCGUUAUCCUUCUGUGGAGGUCUUAUCUGCAGGAGGGAUUGCGACCUCGAUGUUGAAUUAGGGAUAUACCAGAAAGGCGCAGAAGCUUUUAUUGUGGGUCUG